GCUCCUCUUACCUUUAAGGCAACAGGCUAAGAAAGGAGUUACAGUGUUAUCUGGGGUGAUUGACCAGGACUGUGAAUAUGAAAUCAGUCUACUACUCCACAACGGAGUGAUCAUUCAACACCUGACCUGGAGGAAUUCAGAAUUCAGCGGGGGUACAUUCUCAGCUGAGAGAAGACAGAAAUAAAACUAAAAGCUAAUUCUCUCUGGACUUGGAGAGGAAGGAGUAUCAGAGAAGCAGAGAAGAGAAAAAAGCUUAGAAAGCAGGAAAGAAGCUGAAAGCAUUUGGAAGACAUCGUGAACUCUUUGAAGGCAGAAACUAAAUGAAAUUCACCUUCAUAUUUACAGGGACCAGCACAGCCUCUAGAAUAGAAUGGGUGCUCAAAUCAAUAUUUCUUUAAAAGAAUAAAUGAAUGAAUAAAUAAAUGAAUGCAAGUGGA
rnacentral:lncRNA from 1 species